GGACGUUCACCCUUCGCUUCACCCACUGGAUACAACCUGGCGCCACGUGCAGGCAGAGGGCCCGGAGCAGAGGCGCACCUCCGAGCGCCCUCUUCCAGGAUGCUUGCGUUAGUCUCCACAUCUCUGAAAGAGUCCAACCUUUCCCCUUCCAGAACAGCAUCUCUGACAGCGGCCUGGAAAAAGCCUUCAUGCUAUAGAUCUCUGACACACACGUGUGCAUCUGACAUGCGUCAGGCCGUUCCGCCAGGACCUGGACUUCAGUCACAUGUGGGAUCCUGUCUCCCCUGAGCAGUGCACCUCCAUGGAGCCACAAAGCCAGCAUGGCCCCGGCAGGACUGUGCCCUGUCCCAGGCGGACAGGGGAGGGCAGAGCCUCAGUGCUGGGUACGGCCAGGC